rnacentral:rRNA from 1 species
ACGAACGCUGGCGGCGUGGAUAAGACAUGCAAGUCGAACGGGAGAAUUGCUAGCUUGCUAAUAAUUCUCUAGUGGCGCACGGGUGAGUAACACGUGAGUAACCUGCCUCUUAGUGGGGGAUAGCCCUGGGAAACCGGGAUUAAUACCGCAUACGAUUGAAAGAUCAAAGCAGCAAUGCGCUAGGAGAUGGGCUCGCGGCCUAUUAGUUAGUUGGUGAGGUAACGGCUCACCAAGGCGAUGACGGGUAGCCGGUCUGAGAGGAUGUCCGGCCACACUGGAACUGAGACACGGUCCAGACACCUACGGGUGGCAGCAGUCGAGAAUCAUUCACAAUGGGGGCAACCCUGAUGGUGCGACGCCGCGUGGGGGAAUGAAGGUCUUCGGAUUGUAAACCCCUGUCAUGUGGGAGCAAAUUAAAAAGAUAGUACCACAAGAGGAAGAGACGGCUAACUCUGUGCCAGCAGCCGCGGUAAUACAGAGGUCUCAAGCGUUGUUCGGAAUCACUGGGCGUAAAGCGUGCGUAGGCUGUUUCGUAAGUCGUGUGUGAAAGGCAGGGGCUCAACCCCUGGAUUGCACAUGAUACUGCGAGACUAGAGUAAUGGAGGGGGAACCGGAAUUCUCGGUGUAGCAGUGAAAUGCGUAGAUAUCGAGAGGAACACUCGUGGCGAAGGCGGGUUCCUGGACAUUAACUGACGCUGAGGCACGAAGGCCAGGGGAGCGAAAGGGAUUAGAUACCCCUGUAGUCCUGGCAGUAAACGGUGCACGCUUGGUGUGCGGGGAAUCGACCCCCUGCGUGCCGGAGCUAACGCGUUAAGCGUGCCGCCUGGGGAGUACGGUCGCAAGAUUAAAACUCAAAGAAAUUGACGGGGACCCGCACAAGCGGUGGAGUAUGUGGCUUAAUUCGAUGCAACGCGAAGAACCUUACCUGGGCUUGACAUGUAAUGAACAACAUGUGAAAGCAUGCGACUCUUCGGAGGCGUUACACAGGUGCUGCAUGGCCGUCGUCAGCUCGUGUCGUGAGAUGUUUGGUUAAGUCCAGCAACGAGCGCAACCCCUGUUGCCAGUUACCAGCACGUCAAGGUGGGGACUCUGGCGAGACUACCCAGAUCAACUGGGAGGAAGGUGGGGACGACGUCAGGUCAGUAUGGCCCUUAUGCCCAGGGCUGCACACGUACUACAAUGCCCAGUACAGAGGGGGCCGAAGCCGCGAGGCGGAGGAAAUCCUGAAAACUGGGCCCAGUUCGGACUGUAGGCUGCAACCCGCCUACACGAAGCCGGAAUCGCUAGUAAUGGCGCAUCAGCUACGGCGCCGUGAAUACGUUCCCGGGUCUUGUACACACCGCCCGUCACAUCAUGGAAGCCGGUCGCACCCGAAGUAUCUGAAGCCAACCGCAAGGAGGCAGGGUCCUAAGGUGAGACUGGUAACUGGGAUG